AUUGCAGUUUUUAACAUCCCGUUGGUAGGAUAGUCUUAAUCAUAGAUCAUCCCGUUUAUUUUCCAGUGAUUGCACGUUGGCCAAUAGGACGGAUAGUAGUGGCGGUCUACCCACUCGCCAAUGAAUUCCCACAAGGCACCCUGACCUCUGCCCCCUGUUUCUCAGUUUUUUCUUCACGCGAAUGACGAGGAUUUGGGCCUGGUCUCAAGGAAGCAGUAUAUCCUUCACGUCGGACUCAUUAAACAAAUAAUCUUUGUCCGGUUCGAGGUGAGUAAUCGCUGUUCUGAUAUCCAGAAGCUCUUUUUGGUCAUAAGAGACGGUAACGGCAACAAUAUGUACAAAAUAAAUGACAAACAAUGUGAAAAACAAACAAAAUAGCACAGUUGGUUGGGAGCCCGUAAAGCGGCAGCCAUCCCCUCCAGUGCCAUUAUUUCAUCUAGCUAAGGUGUUUGGUGCAGUUUUACUAUGUAAACCAACUGCUGGGCAGGUCUUUCUCACUGUGUUCUGCUGUACAAUUCGAUAGAGUUAAUUCACCACAGCUGUUUUCCCGUGUUAGUGGGCAUUGUGGAAAUCAAACCCAACCCUCAAGUCAUGAUGAACACUUGCACUGCAAUCUCACAACUCAGUUUUGGAAGAGACUGACUUUAUGACCAAAAUUAACCUACUUGCACUUUUUAGUCAAUUUUGGCACUGGCAUAAAUGUUCCUGACUUAUAUUGAUGUCACGUAUGUUGUUUUCAAUUAGAGAAAUUGGUUCUUGAGUUCAGUUCUGCUUUAAGGAGAUGCAUUUUAGAAAUAGGUGGGUUUAUGACUGUGGCUGUGCCAGCUAGUGACGACUGUCUAAAGGCUCUAUAGAUAACCUCUGCUCCUCGCUCCUUUCCUCCAGACUCCCUGCAGCUCUCUGUCUCUGAGGAGGAGGUUCUCCCUGAGCAGCAGCACUGAGCAGGAGUGGGGUGCGUUCAGUUCGUUUGCUACGUUGAGGAAUGAUUCCAUGCAGCUCUCUGUCUCUGAAGAGGAGGUUCUCCCUGAGCAGCAGUACUGUGAGCAGGAGUGGAGCCCCAGUCUGGGGCAGGAGAACCCAGUGCUUCCACAGAUUAAAGAGGAACAGGAGGAACUCAGGACCAGUCAGGAGGAAGAGCAGCUUCAAGGGCUGGAGGCUAAGUUCAAAUUCACUCCUUCCUGUGUGAAAAGUGAAUGUGAUCAGGAGGACCCACUUCAGUCCUUCACUUCUCCCCAAACCCAGACUGUGGAGAACAGAGAGCGUGACCCUAAACAAGUGGAUCUCACCUUUUGUUACUGUGACCCACCUUAAGGGUCUCUACAUUCCCUGUGACCCACCUUAAGGGCCUCUACAUUCCCUGUGAUCCACCUUAAGGGUCUCUACAUUCCCUGUGACCCACCUUAAGGGCCUCUACAUUCCCUGUGACCCUCCAGAUAAUCAGAACAAUCCCUCCAGACAAAUCUCAGCUGUAAGUAGCGACCCAGCAGAACUUGACUGCAGCCCGCCAUUGGAUCCAAAUCCAUCAGUGGUGGAACACUGUUUCAAACCCAGCACCACGUCUGGAAAAACGUUUGCAGAGAGAACUGACCUGCAGAGGCAUGUGACUCUCAUCAAGAAGAGACUCCGUGAAUGUCGCUUCUGCAAAGAACACUACAACUCGACCUGUAAACUGAAGGCCCAUGUCUGCCUCUGUCACAGUGGGAAACCCAACACCUGCCCUGUUUGUGGCAAGACCUUCAAACUCAAAGUAGAUCCAAGCACAUGAGGAUUCACACGGGGGAGAAACUUUAUUGUUGUGGCGACUGUGGGAAGAGCUUUAAUCGCAAGUGGGCCCUAGCCGCACAUAUACAGAUUCACACAGGAGAAAAAAACAUUUAACUGUGCUGACUGCGGGAAAAGCUUCAAUUUGAAGGGGAAACUUAGGAAACAUAAACAUACUCACACAGGAGAGAAAUCAUUUAGCUGUGGAGACUGUGGGAAAAGCUUCAAUCAGAAGGGGGCCCUAAUUAAGCAUAUACGAACUCACACAGGAGAGAAAUUAUUUAGCUGUGAUGAAUGUGGGAAAAGCUUCCAUUUAAAGGGGAACCUAAAGAAGCAUGAACUGACUCACACAGGAGAGAAAUCAUUUAGCUGUGGUGACUGUGGGAAAACAUUCAAACGCAGGGAAAUCUUAACCACGCAUAUACUGACUCACACAGGAGAGAAACAAUUUAGCUGUGGUGGCUGUGGGAAAAGCUUCAGCCAGAAGGGGACCCUAACGGUGCAUAUACGGACUCACACAGGAGAGAAAUAAAUAAGCUGUGAUGUGUGCGGAGAAAGCGUCACUCGAAUGUCUAACUUACUGAUCCAUGUGGAAAACAGGAUGAAAACUGAAAGAAAACAGAAAAUUAGUACAAAGAUCUAUUUAGUCACAAGAUGAGAAUAAAAAGGCAGGAUGUGGACAAUAGUCUGAGUACACGCUCAUAGACUCACAUCUAUUGGUUGGUGGAGGACAACAUGAUGAUACCUCUCCUAGGGACCUGCUCUCCAUGCUUCAGGAUUAAAGUUCCUCUGGUCUCUGAUCUAUUCUAUUGGUAACCUGCUGUUUCUCUCCACAGUGCUCUCUGCUACUCUCUGGUCUACAUGGAGGGCCUAGCUUCUUUACAUCUGUCUGGAGGGAGAGAGAGAGAGGUCACAGAAUGAGGUUUCUAGUCUCAACACUCUCCAAGGCUUUUUAGAGGAAAAUAUUAACUUUUCAGGUCAUGUCACAAGUGCCUUCUCCUCUGACAUUGGCACUGCUAAUGAACUCAGUGAUGACACUUCUCCUUUCUCCCCACUAGAUGGCACUGUUUGAGAUAUGAUCCCAUCACACCAUCUCUGUUGUAUGUAAAAACGUGUUAGUCAUUUGAACUCAUUCUUCACAGACCUAUGAGGGUAUAAUGUUAAAUGAAUCAACACUGUUACCCAUUACCAAACACAUCGAAACAGACACACACUGUAUUACAGCUAAACAGGACCAUGCUAAACUGAACCAGACAUGACUGACCAUAAGGGGAUGUCAUAGAAUAGAUGGUGUGUACUGUGGGGCCAAAGGUGACUGUAAAUCAGGAUUAGGUUAACAUCUGAGUGGUAUACUACGAAGUAAGCUAAAUCAACUCAGGGUUUUCUAAAGCUAACCUGCUUCACAUUCCAGCUCAGGCUUCAUCCGUACUAUGACAGUGGACAUUGCUUGUCCGCCUGCCGCUAACUCUAGCAGGCUUGUAGCUGCGCUUCCACGUCACACAUGGUUAGUCGAACGCCAAACUCUUCAUUGAGACAGUGCUGAGAAAUCAACCCGUGUGCGAGUCAGUGCCACAUUUUCAUUUGUGAAGAUUUCAAAAUGAAAGAAAAUUGAUCUUACAGAUUCAGCAGACUGGUGUGAAAUAGGCUUUUAAAAGUGCUGUCUUUAUCUGACUACUUAUCAUUACUGCUGUCUUUGGUUUGCUUAUCGCUCCUUAUUCUGUGUGUGAAACAGCUUGUUGUGUUGUGGCCAUAGACAUAAUCCAUAGAAGGGUUUUGUGACCUCUGACCCUGUCAAUUUGACUGUUAAACUCAUGGGUACACUAGCAAUGGCUGGCAGUUUGACUUGAAUAGGAACUACCAUCUAUGGAUUAUAUGUCUAUGGUUGGUUGUGGCUGGCAGUUUGCCUUGAAUAGGAACUACCAUCUAUGGAUUAUAUGUCUAUGGUUGGUUGUGGCUGUCAGAUUGACUUGAAUACGAACUACCAUCUAUGGAUUAGAUGUCUAUGGUUGGUUGUGGCUGGCAGUUUGCCUUGAUUAAGAACUACCAUCUAUGGAUUCUAUUUCUAUGGUUGGUUGUGGCUGUCAGUUUGUCUUGAAUAGGAACUACCAUCUAUGGAUUCUAUUUCUAUGGUUGGUUGUGGCUGUCAGUUUGUCUUGAAUAGGAACUACCAUCUAUGGAUUAGAUGUCUAUGGUUGGUUGUGGCUGGCAGUUUGCCUUGAUUAAGAACUACCAUCUAUGGAUUCUAUUUCUAUGGUUGGUUGUGGCUGUCAGUUUGUCUUGAAUAGGAACUACCAUCUAUGGAUUCUAUUUCUAUGGUUGGUUGUGGCUGUCAGUUUGUCUUGAAUAGGAACUACCAUCUAUGGAUUCUAUUUCUAUGGUUGGUUGUGGCUGUCAGUUUGCCUUGAAUAGGAACUACCAUCUAUGGAUUCUAUUUCUAUGGUUGGUUGUGGCUGGCAGUUUGUCUUGCAAAUGUCUAAAUACAACAGUGAAAAACCUACUGUUUGGUAAGCAAAUGCUGUUGUUACUUAUUUGUUUUCAUUUCAAAUGGUCAAAAUCACAGUAAGGUACUGAAUUGUAACCCAGAAAUGAUUUGAUAUGAAGAUAAAAACGUCUGCAUUAGUCCUUUAAAUGCUCUCCGAAGGAGGACAUAUCAUUCUAUACAUACAGGCUACUAUACUAAUGAAUAAAUAAAGCUGAACCCAUG